UUCUUUAUAAAUUACCCAGUCUGGGGCAGUUCUUUAUAGCAGUAUGAAAAUGGACUAAUACACCUUGUCUUCAGAAAGACUUUCCCUAGAUGCUCAGCACACCUGCUAAAUUUCUCCAGUGUGUUGACAUUAGAGCAGCCUUGUCCAAUAGAGCUUUCUAAGAUGAUGGAAUGUUCUAUGUCUGCACCAUUCAAUACGGCAACUACUAGCCACGUGUGGCUAUUGAGCACUUGAAAUGUGGCCAGUGUGACUGAGGAACUGAAUUUUUUUUUUAGCUUUAAUUAAGUGUCAAUAGCCACACAUAGCUAGUGGCCAGCAUACUGGACAGGUCGAAUUUAGAAACUCUUCUUUCUGCCACUGUUGACUAUGACAAAAGAAUGAGUCAUAGAGAGGAAUGGACUUCUCCCAUUCUACUGGGGCAGCCUGGAGAACACUUGGGCUUCGAAGACCACUUCCCUCUGCUCCCCAGGGCCUUCCCCACUGGCUUCAGAGGCGUGACUGAGGGCAAGAAGGAAGAGCCAAGAUUCUGUCUACAUGUGUGAUCGACAAUGUUAAUUCUCAUAUUGUACAUUGUGCCAUCUCUCCCUGAACUUUAUUGAUGUUUUGAAGCAAAACAACCAUUUACUCCUCUCCUAAAGAUUCCAGUUAAUGAGGUGCGCACAGGCCCCUUUGCAGAGCGCCAGCCAUUUCCAGGGAGGCACAGUGGUAGCAUUUCAGUGCCGUUCUGCUCAGGAAAGACGACCAAACAGCCCUCCUGCCCUCACCUUUGCACACCACACAUCUCAGCUUCAACUCGCCAUCACGGUGGUCCCAGGCACGGUCGCUGCAACAUCAGAAGGGCGGCAUUUCAGCAAGCAUUUGUUUUUGGGGUAGGGGUAGUGGUAAUUACCAGCACAUGAUUAUUUUAUUUUGUCUGAAUUAUUUACAAUGGAAGGAAGCAGUUUGGAGGGAAGGGGAUAUUAGGGAAUGAGUUCAAUCCCACUUGCAUUGAUUCUACCCAGAGCAAGAAGAGCAAGCCUAUUGAGAAGAAAAAUCACUUCCUUUUCUUCCUCUUUCCUCUCCACCCCUAAGUCUUAGAAAUAAAUAAAUAAUGCAAAGAAAAGCCCUGGGUGGCUGCAUGGGAGGGGCCAGUGGCUGGGUGUCUGUGGCCUUCACUGAGGACUCACUUCCAUUAUUACAUCGGGUCCUGGGCUGGAGCGUUCAGUGGUUCAAUUCUUGCUCCCCAGCACUCAUCUUGCAUGUUGGUGCAUAAUGAACACCACGUAUGGAUUGAAAUCCCAUUUACAGGAUGUUCAGUUACGGAACCUGUAAUCAGGAGAGGUGGGUUUUAAUCCCAGAGGUGUCGUUCCCUUAUUGUUUUUUAAAUUUAAGAUUUAUAGUUCUCCAACUUCCAAAAGAACUUGCUGAUGUUUUAUAGCAGCAAAGGUGGUGAAUGAGAGAAAACAGAAGAGAAGCCAUCUGAAGAAAGCAGGACAUGUUGAUGCUUCCAGGCACCAGAGUGGCCAUAACAGUUGGGUAAUAGGCUCAUGGUUGUGCUUCCAUUUCUUUUUUGUCAAAUAGGGAAAGCAAACCCACCUCCUGCUGUGUGAGGUAACAGGUAGAGUAAUGUUUGUGAGAAGAGGCAUCCAUAUCAUUUUGGCAUGAUAUUGCAUUUCUAAAUUUAAAAAAAAAAAUGUCAAUAGAGGCAGAACAUCUCAUGACCUAAUCCCACUGCAAAUCCCUGAAGAGAAAUACUCACAGAAUAGUGCCCUGGCACACUGAAGAUGAGAAACUGGGGCUGCAAGUGCCACCUGAGAGAAAUGGGGGUGCUUUUAUUCAUUUUUUUCUUCAAUGAAUAACUUUUGAAUAAAAUGUUAACAUACUUACCAACUCAUAAUAUAUAUGAAUUUUAAGACUUUGCAAUAAAAUGGAUGUCUAUGUAUCUACCCACCUAAAUUAAGAAAUAUGUAAUUACUGGCCAGGUGUGGUGGCUCAUGCUUGUAAUUCCAGUGCUUUGGGAGGCCAAGGAGGGUGAAACUAGCCUGACCAACAUGGCGAAACCCCGUCUCUACUAAAAAUACAAAAAGUAACUGACUGUGGUGGUGUGCACCUGUAAUCCCAGCUACUCAGGAGGCUGAGGCAGGAGAAUUGCUUGAACCCCGAACGCAGAGGUUGCAGUGAGCCGAGUUCAUGCCGUUGCAUGCCAACCUAGGUGACAGAGUGAGACUUUGUCUAAAAAAAAAGAAAUAUAUAAUUCCUAUCAUUGAAACUCCAAUAAUACCCCUCUUAGUCCCAAGGUAACCACUAUCAUGAUUUUGUGCAUAUUGUCCUUCCGCUUUUUAAAAACAAAUUUUGCGUGUAUUUGAACCAUAUGCAAUUGGAAUUAUACUGAUAUAUUCUAUGAAUUGGUUUUCUUCACCUAAUAUUAUGUUUGUGAGAUUUGUUCAAGUUGAUACUUAUAACCUAUUUUAUUCAUUAUCACUACGGUUUGCUAUUUUGUUGUAUGAUUACUCUAAGACUUAUCCAUUCUCUUACUGAUCAUCAUCUAGAUGUCUCCAUUUUUUAAAUUACAAACCACAUUGCCAUGAAUAUUCUAAUAUAAAUGUCUUUUGGUACACAGAUCUAGGAGUUUCUCCAUUGUAUUUGCCUGAGAGUAGCAUUGCUAGCUCAUAAGAAAGGGGUGUCUUCAACUUUAUUAGAUCUUGCCAAGAUCUUAGUCCAAUCUGUACUCCCAACAGCAAUGUUCAUGAAGGAACUCAAGAAAUUUUUAUCAACUAUGAGCUGAUUCAACUCCUCGCAACUAAGAGGAAAAGUUAAUAGGAAAGAGAGACUGCAUGGCUAACAGAAAUCCACAGACAAUGAUGAUGGUGGUGAUGAUUACCGUAAUCACAAUGACAUAAUGAUGAUUACCAUAAUAACAAUGACCAGGACAAGAACAACAAACCCAUAGUGCUUAAUAUGUGCCAGGCACUGUUCUGAACAGUUCACACAUCUGGCACAGUGCCUGGCACAUAGUAAAGACUCAUUCAAUCUUUACAAUUACUCUAAGAGAUUUGUACUGUAAUCUCCACUUAGCAGGUAAAGAAACUGAAACACAGAGAGGUUAAGAAACUUGCUUAAGUUAUGGCUGAUAAAUGUCGAAGCUGGAAUUUGAGUGGUUGCUCUGAACUACAUGCUUCGUUAAAAAUUUUAAUUUAGUUUUUCUUGGCAUUACCAUUCAUGGACUUUAUCUUUUAAUUUUAUUUUCUUUUUAAUUGACAAAUGGUAAUUGAAUACAUUUGUGGCAUACAAUGUGGUAUUUUGAUUCACCUAUACAUUGUCCUUGCUUCAUUUUAGCCAAUCGCUUAUGAGUUCAUGCUAAAUGAACCAGUAAUAAGAGCAGCUACAUGACUGAUGGAUGACUGGUCACUCUGCCAUUUGAAGUGGGGGACUUACUUUUCUAAUCAUACUCCUUAUUACACACUCUAUUUUACAGCUCUCUUCACUGAGAGUUUUGAUUGUAUUUAGAUUUCAUCACAAUUUGAUUCUUAAGAAGCAAGGGAAAAGCAUUCUUUCUCGGAUAGCAUGGAAUUUGGAUGACCACUUUGGCUAAUGUAAAAAAAAAAUGUGAGGUGUUCUUAAACCAAAACUUCUCAAAUCCUAACUUAACGUAAUCUACCUGAAAUCAAUGUUAUGGUUACUGGCACUUGACAAGACUGGAAGAGAAAUAACUUUUCGUAACAGCUCAUCUUCACAUAGCUAAUGAUAGGUACCAUUGUUUUUUGGGCAAAGUGAUGGGGGAGGAUAUUAACUAUUUCAAAGGUUGUUCAAAAUGACUAAAAUAUAACAUAAUAAUAUUGUCAUAGGCAUAUAGGCAUAGCUAUUUUUGUCAUGGAAAACAUCAGCAGAAAUGAAGAACCAUAUGUAUAUUUAUACCUUAGGAUCAAUAAAACUAUAUUUUUUGGUCCAUA